GAUGAACGCUAGCGGGAGGCCUAACACAUGCAAGCCGAGCGGUAUUCUGGAUUUAUUCAGGAGAGAGCGGCGUACGGGUGCGUAACACGUGUGCAACCUACCUUUAUCAGGGGAAUAGCCUUUCGAAAGGAAGAUUAAUACUCCAUAAUAUAUUAGAUGGCAUCAUUUGAUAUUGAAAACUCCGGUGGAUAGAGAUGGGCACGCGCAAGAUUAGAUAGUUGGUGAGGUAACGGCUCACCAAGUCGAUGAUCUUUAGGGGUCCUGAGAGGGAGAUCCCCCACACUGGUACUGAGACACGGACCAGACUCCUACGGGAGGCAGCAGUGAGGAAUAUUGGACAAUGGGUGAGAGCCUGAUCCAGCCAUCCCGCGUGAAGGAUGACGGUCCUACGGAUUGUAAACUUCUUUUGUAUAGGGAUAAACCUCUCUACGUGUAGAGAGCUGAAGGUACUAUACGAAUAAGCACCGGCUAACUCCGUG
rnacentral:rRNA from 1 species